UUCUCGCUGUGUUGGCUUCCCUAUCCCGGUUUUAGGGUAAACGUAUCCCCGAUUUUCAGACAUUUUAGGGCGGAGCUUGUCAGAAGUUGUGAAGUGGUAAAAAUGAGACAGCGCCAUCUAGUGAUAAGACGUUGACUUUCAAAUAAUACUUUCGGCGGCCAUUUUUGUGUAAUAUGUGAAUACGGCGGCCAUCAUCGGGAAUACGUGAAUGAAGCCUAACCAUAAUUUCUGUAAAAAUGGUUUGCAGGUGUGCUGUUCCUGGUUGUAAAUCAACAUAUUUCAAAGGAAAUCAAAAAGAAAACGAGGUUACCCUGUUUGCAAUUCCUAAAACUUCAUUAUCUAAAUGGCGAGAACUAAUUCCAUGUAGUUAUUUGACGAGCACCUCACGUAUUUGCUCCCGUCAUUUUGACGAAAGUGACUUCAAAUCAGGGAUUUAAAUUUUGAACGUGUUCCAUCCUUUCAAACGUAGGAAUCGUAAUGCUGGAGCAAUUCCCAAACAUUUUCUGAUAAAUGAUACACCUAGUCGACAAGCAAUGCAAAAUGUUGAUGGUUUCAAAUGGAGAAAUAACAUAAAUGGUAUUUUUAAAUAUGUUUAUUUUGUUUAAUAUCAAAUAACGCAAUUCUUAAAUAUGUAUUGUAGUGGAAACAAAUGCUAGCAAUGCAUCAGUAAGGAAACGACCAAAAGUAGACAAAAUACCUACUACGUCUAAGAGAAAAAAAUUUGACAGUACAGCACCCUCCAUGGAAAUUACCUCUACUAUUAAAGAAUCAAUCAACAUUCCCCAGGCUGCUGAAGAAGCAAUUUUUGAUCCACUUCCAGAUUCAAUCAAGGAAAAUGUUGCUGUUGUCAUUGAAGAUUCGACAGUUACAUCACCUUCUAUGGAAGCAAGCUCUACUAAUUUCAAGUCUAAUUUUGUGACAUUUCAGUCACUAGUAACUUCAUCAAUGGUACCAAAGAAUUGGACAUGGUAUUUUGAUCAAAUUAAACAAACGAUUUUUUGCAUUUCGAUGGAUCAACUACCAAAUGAAAAUUAUAAUGUGAAAAGUGUACAUUUUCAAAACAAGAAGUAGUGUAUUAUGUCAACGGAACAAUAAACAAUUUACACAACCAAA